GACGAACGCUGGCGGCGUGCCUAAUACAUGCAAGUUGAGCGCCGAAGGUUGGUACUUGUACCAACUGGAUGAGCAGCGAACGGGUGAGUAACGCGUGGGGAAUCUGCCUUUGAGCGGGGGACAACAUUUGGAAACGAAUGCUAAUACCGCAUAAAAACUUUAAACACAAGUUUUAAGUUUGAAAGAUGCAAUUGCAUCACUCAAAGAUGAUCCCGCGUUGUAUUAGCUAGUUGGUGAGGUAAAGGCUCACCAAGGCGAUGAUACAUAGCCGACCUGAGAGGGUGAUCGGCCACAUUGGGACUGAGACACGGCCCAAACUCCUACGGGAGGCAGCAGUAGGGAAUCUUCGGCAAUGGACGAAAGUCUGACCGAGCAACGCCGCGUGAGUGAAGAGGGUUUUCGGAUCGUAAAACUCUGUUGGUAGAGAAGAACGUUGGUGAGAGUGGAAAGCUCAUCAAGUGACGGUAACUACCCAGAAAGGGACGGCUAACUACGUG
rnacentral:rRNA from 1 species